rnacentral:lncRNA from 1 species
AUACCCCCUGAGAAACAUCUACUUCCGGACAGAAAGAGGUAAAAAAUAGGUCAGUAUGUCAAAAAAGAGCCUAGGAAUAUAGGGAAACCCCAGCAAGACCUAUCCAGAGGCAGGCAGCUAGGACACCCUGGUAGUCAGAAGGUGUUGCCUGCGUUCUGCUUGCAGAUGUUGGUCUGCCCAAUGGACAGUGGGCAGUGUCACAGAGAUCCUGGGAUACUGUGAUUCUUUCAUCCUGUUCCUUAAAGGGUCCUGUGGGUCUUCACCUGGAAGACUGGACACUCGUAGAGAAGAGCAAUAGUGACCAUUGUAUACAGUGAAGUGGAACUGAGAGAAGUUUCAUCAGAUGGUGAGUCUCCCAGAGCCAGUUAUGUGAGGCCAGGGCUCCAGGAGCUGCUAGCCACGCACUGCUUGGUCCGAGAUGCCACUUGGAUGAUCACAUGCUGGUUGCUCAGAAGAGUGUGUGCUUCCAAGAAAGCAGUGAUGACCGAGGCUGCAGAGUCACAAGCUGUUUCUCCAUUUAAGGUCCAAACUGAGAAGACUGGACAAAAGCUGAGCCAGAUGGAGGACACUGAUAUAAGGCAGGACCACUUAUCUGUCACUCCUGUCUGGCCACAUAGAGUAAGCCAGCUCUGGAUGUAUUUUACAAUUCACCUUCAUUCUACCAGUAACAGAGAGAGGCUCCAUGAGGCCUUGUUCCUUCAGACAUAAGCAGCUAUAUGAUGACAAAUGGACUGUGAAUGCUGAUAACUGAAAUGAUACCAAGUCACAGCCUCCCAAUGAAGUGAGAAGUUAAGAUUGAAACAUUUGGAUUUCUAGAGCUCCGGGACCACCUUGUCAGAUCACAAAUCAAGGGUUAAUCUCUGCAGCAAAUGAUAUUUAGAUUCUACUAUAUUUAUCUUGGAACGCUAGGACGUAAGCCCACGGAAGGUGGAUACUAACCUUUCUCAACCGCCAUACUGUCUGGGCACCAGUUAUGAGGAAAAGUGAAAGUUAGAAUUAUGUUCUUCAAUUAAAGAAGAUCUCAGAAGAUGGAAAGAUCUCCCAUGCUCAUGGAUUGGCAGGAUCAACAUUGUAAAAAU